rnacentral:sRNA from 1 species
UUAAGCGUGUAGGAUAACGUUGCGUCAGCAACGGCCCGUAGGGCGAGCGAAGCGAGUCAUCCUGCACGACCCACCA